GAUGAACGCUGGCGGCGUGCCUAUUACAUGCAAGUCGAGCGAACAGACGAGGAGCUUGCUCCUCUGACGUUAGCGGCGGACGGGUGAGUAACACGUGGAUAACCUACCUAUAAGACUGGGAUAACUUCGGGAAACCGGAGCUAAUACCGGAUAAUAUAUUGAACCGCAUGGUUCAAUAGUGAAAGACGGUUUUGCUGUCACUUAUAGAUGGAUCCGCGCCGCAUUAGCUAGUUGGUAAGGUAACGGCUUACCAAGGCAACGAUGCGUAGCCGACCUGAGAGGGUGAUCGGCCACACUGGAACUGAGACACGGUCCAGACUCCUACGGGAGGCAGCAGUAGGGAAUCUUCCGCAAUGGGCGAAAGCCUGACGGAGCAACGCCGCGUGAGUGAUGAAGGUCUUCGGAUCGUAAAACUCUGUUAUUAGGGAAGAACAAAUGUGUAAGUAACUAUGCACGUCUUGACGGUACCUAAUCAGAAAGCCACGGCUAACUACGUG
rnacentral:rRNA from 1 species